CGCAAGCCUGACGGAGCAAGACCGCGUGGGGGAUGACGGCCUAAUGGUUGUAAACCCCUUUUCUCUGGGAAGAAGACUGACGGUACCAGAGGAAUCAGCCUCGGCUAACUCCGUUCCAGCAGCCGCGGUAAUACGGAGGAGGCAAGCGUUAUCCGGAAUUAUUGGGCGUAAAGCGUCCGUAGGUGGUUAUUCAAGUCUGCUGUCAAAGCGUGGGGCUUAACUCCAUAGAGGCAGUGGAAACUGAGUGACUAGAGUGCGGUAGGGGUCGAGGGAAUUCCCAGUGUAGCGGUGAAAUGCGUAGAUAUCGGGAAGAACACCAGUGGCGAAGGCGCUCUACUGGGCCGCAACUGACGCUGAGGGACGAAAGCUAGGGGAGCG
rnacentral:rRNA from 1 species